AGAGAAACGGGCCUGUUUCCCUAAAGGAAAGUUAAGAAAGGAAAAGCGCAUUGGGGAGAUGGGCUUAAGAAACACAAGUGAGGAAUAACUCUGUGCGCUCCUUUCUUCGGUGGCUUUCUGGGUAUUUGCGCGGCGCUGAACGCCUCCUGGUCCUCGUUGCUACCUUUGUUUAAAAUGCCCGUAAAUGUACACACGGGUUCUCAAUCAGCGAGCGGCGGCUGCAUAUUUGGGGGGAUCUAUUCAGUGCACUCUUGGCUCCGUGCGAGCGCGCGUGCUCGAGUGCGGGGGCCAAGGGAGUGAGCACAGGUGCACCUCUAUCAAGCGUGUGCACGAGAGUCACGCUAAGACAUAUUUUGUGUAUCUCUAUACUGCAAACGCAGAAGAACUUUGUGUGCGUGUGUAGCAAGAUCGUACACGUGAGCCCGCACUCACGCGUGUUUCGUGUAUGCAGUUGCGUGUGUUAACUGCCGCAAAGACAUCCUAAAAAUCAAAGUCCACAUAGGGCGAAAGCAGCAGGCUGCGUGGAAAUCGAGGUGUCAAGGGCAGCAAUGAGACUGCAGGUCCCUUGGCCUUACCGGUGGGAGGGAGCCUACUGAAGAAGUGCAGGGCAUGGCCACAGGCCGGGGGUGAGCGCCCAGCUCAGCUCCCUGCAGACCAGGUGUAAUUUCCACCCACAAAUUACCCGAACUGAGAGCGCAACGGUCCCUGCUGGACAGUUCCGCGCUCUUAAUGGUUCCUCGCGGACAGUUUCUGAUUAUUGAUGCCGCGUCCAAAAAGAGACCGCUUCCGGGAGAUUUGCUUGUGUGUUCAUUCCCCCUUAUCGCUGUAGAUUCGCUUGGCUGCUACAAAGACCCAGCCAAACCUACCAGCGCCACCAAGAAAUCCUGAGCGGAUCCCGUGGUGCAGGAUACUUGCCGGCCAGAAUUCUCUUCCAAGGUGGAGUCACAGCGCCACCUUGCGAUCUUCUAGCUCCCUCGCGGCACUGCCACUCGAGAAGGAGACUUUGCAGGUCCCCAGCCUAUAGAUUCCCAAUGCUGGUUCCUGUUCACAUUCACAAUUUCUUUAUUCAGUUAUUAAUAAGUUAUUCAUUUCCCCCAGGCACACUUUGAACACCUCUGAACUAUCCACCCGUCAGGGUUCAAUCUCCAAGGUUGCCUAAAUGAACCUUUCCCUCCAAGGCAGCCCAAUGGUACAUUUGCCCCUAAGGCUCAUUUCACACUGUCAGAAAUACAGUCUCUCUCCCAUCCUGGUCAAGGAACUCCGUAAUAAUGUCGAAAAUUGUUCUUCCUACAUCAACCCAGUGUAGAGUUUAUUGAUGAGCAAUUGUGAGGGAGUCUCUGUUUUAUGCUAAGCACAAGACAUUCUUAUUUAAACAUGCUAGCAAAACCACAUACCAAGCCCCGAUGUUGUCACUUGUUGUUGUUGUUGUUGUUGUUGUUAUUUACAUUUAAAAAGCAAUGUUAGAAGGGAAAAAGUGCCCAGCCAAGGUCAUGAGCCCAAGUUAGUCUGAUGUCAGAGCACACCUUUCCCUUCUGUGUCUAGCUGACUCCAUCAGAGCUAUGGCUUCAGGCCAUGUGACCAGACAAGGCUCAGAGUCAGCAUUCAUGUAAACCCAUGCUCUAGAGAACUGAGCCAGGAAGAGAACUGCUGCUAUCAAGCCCCUUGAUUGCUCACAAAGCAUAUUACACCACUCUCUACCCAAGGGACCCUAGUCAAGUCGCUAACCUUCCUCCAUCCUCUUCUUCAUUAAAGAUCUUUCACUAUUUACUUCUACCGUACGUGUAUGCGUAUUUCACCUGCAUUGUGUCUGUACAACGCACAGAAGCCUGGCAUGGAAGGUAGAUACCCGGGAACCGAUAUCAGUUCUCGUGUAGGUGCUGAGAACCAAACCCAGGUCUUUUUGCAAGAGCAGCAAGUGCUUUUAACCAGUGAGUCAUCUCUCCAGCUACUCAACCUCCUUAUUCUUUUUUCUUUUUUUCUUUUUUUUUUUCCGGAGCUGGGGACCGAACCCAGGGCCUUGUGCUCGCUAGGCAAGCGCUCUACCGCUGAGCUAAAUCCCCAACCAACCUCCUUAUUCUUAAAAGUAGGCUUGCUGUAAGGGACAAAGGAGAGACGUGGAUGCUACACACCUGAUGUACUGCUCCAUGCUCUCCAACCAGCACAAAGGCGGUGUUUGUGAGCAUUGAGUCCACAGCUCAAAAAAUGCAAUUACUAAUAGUCACCAACUAACACACGAAACAAAGUGAAUCUAUCAUCCCUACAAAGAGUUUAUUAUGAAACUACCUUGUGGUUAUAUCUUCAUGUUCAUUGUGGGCAUGAGUUAUGUAAUGGGGCAUGUUUACUUUAUGGUGAUUUGAGUGUUUAUAUUACCCUGAUAUUUAAAAACAAAAAACAUUUAAAGGGUGGAGAGGGUGAGAGAUAGAACUAAACAGUACAUCAGUAGGCUUGCCUCUUGCCCUUCCCUUCCUUUGUAGACUUAUGCCAAGAAAGAUUUAAAGAGAGACUAUAAAAAUGUUUCUUACUCUGGAGAGUACAAAAUUCUGGGGUGUGUGUGUGUGUGUGAGUGUGUGUGUGUGUGUGUGUGUGUGUGUGUGUGUGUGUGUUUAAGUUAGGGGAGAUUCUGAGCUAGUCUGAGAAAACUAAAAAAAAUUGUUACAAGUAACACAGUAGACGCUUUGAAAUUAAGCUAAGCAAAUGUAUGUGUACAAAUAGUGACGCUCAAGUAAGAGAAACAAAUUAGGGUUGUUGGGGGCAAAGGCCAGGCUUUUGGACAUUUCUCUAAAUUAUAUUUUAAAAGUUCAGUGUCUCUUUCUAGAAUGGCUCCUCAAAGAGCUACUCCUGUUAAGUUUGCUGACUACAAACUUUGCAGCCUGCUCAGGUAAGACCUUCCAUGCUCUAGAAAGGCUGACGAUCAGUAGUCAUAUCAUAGCUCUGGGUGAUUUCUCCCCAGAGAAGAGAGGCAGAAAGACCCACGAGAGAGAGAGAGGAGUGUGCCUCCCAUUCUUCGGACCCAUGAUCCAUUUCGAGAGACCCCACCACAGGCUGGAUCUAGUCCAAUUCAUAUGUACCUGUUUCUUGUUUCAUGUUAUGCUCUUACACAGGGAAAAGAGAUGUGGGCAAUUCUACCUGCAUUAAAGGGGUCUGGUUGCAUGACCAAUGAGAUUUUAUUAUCCUUGACUGGGAAUUUGGUUCAUACUAAUGCCACGACCCACUGACUUUUUGGCAACAUGGGAUCUAUUCUGUUUCUCCCUCCUCUUUCCCUUCCCCCUCCUUUUCCUCCUAAUGUUCUUCCUCUUCCUCUUCCUCUUCUUUCUCACCAUGACAGUCAUUAGGGAUAGCCACCAAAGUCCUGGUUCUUUCUCUCCUCAUAGAAUACUACUUCCCACAUUUCCUGGUUGGGGUACCCCGAGUCCUCUGUAUGUGAAGAAGCCCUGUGAUUUGCCUUGGCACAUGAGGAGUUAGCAGGCAUGGCAUGUCACUCAUGGGCAAGAGGCAAGAAGAACCAGGGCACAGUUCACCAAAUUCCCUCCCCUAGUGGCAGGAGCUGAUGGGUCCCCAAAUGGAGUUUACAAUCACCCGCCGCUCUUUGUAAAGCCGAUAUGUACCGGAGUCCCCCUGUACUCAUAGGGGCAUUGAGCAUGAGUGGUGAAUUAUCCUGUUACUCUAAAGCACAGACAAUUCUUUCCUGGAGUAUGGCCUAGCCUCCUUGACUAAUGCACUUAGGAAAGUAACAUCUUUUCCUCUGGGAGACAAAAAGAAAGUUCUUCCCUUGAGUGAAAAAAAAAAGUGGCUUAUUCCAUCUAAUGAAAAAAAUGAUCAGAAAUCUGAGUGUCUUCGCUUUAGUCAAGUCAUUCUUGGAGUUCCCAGCAUCAUUUGGAAACUCCGAAGAGAGAAAGGGAGAUGCAUUGCAGAAAUCAUUAAAAGGAAACUCGAAAUUCUUUCGGGAGUCCCGCAGGACUUUCCAGGAGCAUUUUGCUCUCUUGCAGACACGCUAUGAAGAGCCUCCUUAAGGUCUGACUGGAAAAGACCUUCCUAGCAGUUCCAUGGCCGGGAUACAGAAACAUUUCUCAGGACAGUAAAGAUGGCUCAGCCGUCCAGGUUGUUGCUGGCUGGUCUUGCAGAGGACCAGAGUCAAGUUCUCAGUGCCCCCACCCAGCUGCUCACAACCACAACGACUGUACCUCCCGCUGCAGGGGUCUGACAUCCUCUUCGGGCCUCCACGUGUACCCGCAUGCACGUGGCAGGUCUCUGACAGACACGUUCAUAUAUAAUAAAUAAAAAUAGCAAACCUUUAUUUUUAAAAAGGAAAAGAAAAAUUUCCUCCCCCAUUACAUUCCCUUCUAUAAUUUCAAGUUGACAGCAGUAAAAGUUCUUAGCCAAUUAAGUCUUUAAGAAAUAUAGCUAGGACAAGUUAAAUUUCCCAGAAUUUAGUUCCUCAUCUCAUGCUAUAGAGUAAAUGUUUAUUAUGUCCCACCCACAAAUCAUAUAUUGAAACGUUGCCACCCUACCCCUCCACUCCACCCCAGUAUGCUGGUGCUGCCUCCCGGCAGUAGCAAACACCGUGAGAAAGUAACCACCCAAAGGGCAGGAGAGAGUUGCUUCACUGGGGAGGGGCCAAGAUUCACCCGCCAUGAUUGAGCAGCAAGUUCCUAUAACCCUAGAACCAGAGUGGAACAUAACCGAUCUGUCAUUGAUCUCAGACUCCUAUCCAGCCUGAGAGGACGAGAUGUCUGUUGGUUAAAGCACCUGGUCUAUGCUAUUUUGCUACAGCAGCUUGUGCAGACUGCACAUGGAAAAAUUAAAAACAAUUAGACCAGAGGGUCGGCUGGAUAGCACCCCUUUCCAGCGAGCUGCCUUUGAAGGUAUUUGAGUGACAGGACAGCUUUUUCAGGAACAGUGCCUUCAGGAAUAUCUCCCAAACCCAAACCAAUGCUCCCCCCCCCCUUUCUAUGUUGUUCUCUGUGUUUUCUCAUACUGACCCUGCAACCACAGCUUCCCGGAUAAGCUAAUGUCUCUAUUCCUCAGCCUCAGAUUAGUGCAAACGUGGGGCCUGCUGGAAAACUAGAGAUGGGUUUGAAACACGGGAAAGGCUUUGUUGCUUUCUGGCUCCUAUACCGAACAGGUUAAAGAUUCUCCUCAGGUGUUCAUGAGCGCUGGUCCUCUGAAGAAACUUCCAGAGAAUUUCCAGGAAACUUUUGUGAGAAAUACUGGUUGUGCGAGGAAUGUCCUGGGCAAAGCCAUUCUUCAUCUUUGGAGUGACACGGCUGAUGACCAUCCGUGCAGCUUCUUCCAUUCAGAGAAUAAUUGGAAGUUGGCAGAGAGUUGCUGCUGCCUUGACACCUGUCAACAGGGCGGAGGAGUAAGGUUAAGCUUCGCCUGUGUCCCGCUGGGCUUCGGUCUGGCCCACAGCUGCCUGCGCUAUUAAGAAAGCUGCCGCAACUCUGGCAGAGAAUAGAAAACAUCCUACCAUGACUGGAUUUGGUGGCACCUGCCUUCAUCUAAGUGCCAGAAAGGCAGCGAGCGAGCGGCAAAAAGCAAAAAGCAAAAAGAGCAUCCAAUGGGAGAUGAGAGGGCCCUCGGAUCACUCCUUCCAACAAGCAAAGGUGGACGCAUCAGUUUGCCUUCUGUGAUGAACUCCUGUUCUCCAACAGUACGCAGUGGGUGGGGUUUCAGCAAGUUCCGAAACCACUGAGAACCCGGCCCUGCUUCAUAACACAACCCACGUCAGCCUGUGCCCGAUGGACGCAGCUUCCGGUUUCAAAGGCAAGUCUGUUGUAGAAGAAAACUGCCUCUGUUGGGUAGACAUUUAAACUUAACCAUAGACAGAUACCUUUUUAGAAAAAUUCUGUUAACCAAUUUAUGCGCACAUUACUUCCUUUUUAGUUAAUUAUCUACAUUUGGACAGGAAAGGUGAAGAACCACCCUGCCUCCAUUUUAGGAUCAAGAGUUAUCAUUUUAGUAAAGACGAGCUAGGUUCAUUCCUGUUUGCGAUUAAACCUCUGUUUUUCAAGAAUUGUGCUAUACACCCACCCGCAAUCUUAAGGAAAAAUGGCUCUGUACCGCCUGUCCCAGGAAGAGCAAAUUAUGCCUUUGUUUCAAAAUGUGGUUUAAAAUCAUCUUGCGACUCUACCUUUGUUUCGAAAGGUUGUAUGACCACCACCUAUGACAACACUUGUUGUGUUGCCAUGUCUGCCUUGUUUUGCCCACCUUGCAAGCAUGCCUUUGUUUCAGGAGAAACCAGCUUGUUGGGCUUCUCCUCUGCCCCUAUAACCCCGCCUCUUUUUUUCCCACCAAACCUUUCAUUUGGAAAUCUCUGACCAAUGGCUGAGAUAUAAAAGCCUUCUCUUCCUCACAUCCAAAGCAGACCUCAAAGCCCCCACCUAGGUGGGAGGCAGCCCAUAGACAGGAAUUUUUAAAAACCUGGCUUUAAUUAAUUUGGUGAUUUGGGUUGGUGGUCUUUCUCCUCCCAUCUCUGGGAUUAACAUUAAGACUAUGAAUUAAUGUUUAUAUAACUAAUGAACGACUGUGCGGGUUGAGCGAAUUGGUACAAGCCUUUAAUUCCAGAACUCAGGAGCCAGAGGCAGAGGCAGAGACAGAGAUCUACAACUUCAAGGGAAGCCUGGUCUACAUAAGAAGUUUCGGUCCGGGUUGGGGAUUUAGCUCAGUGGUAGAGCGCUUGCCUAGUUUGGUCUCCAAAAAAAAAAAAAAGAAAAGAAAAAAGAAAAAAAAAAGAAGUUUCAGACCAGCUGGAUCUGAAAAAUGAUACCCUGCCUCAAUAAAUAAAUAAAUAAAUAAAUAAAUAUAAAAUAAAUAAAUAAACACAGCCAUGGAAACCAAAUUCUAAAGUAAAUGACAAAGGAAACCCCACAAAAUUAAAGAUUUAAAAAUAAACAACAAAAUGUGUUCCAUAUCAUGUUAUUUUGCAGAAAUGAAAUUGUCACCAACCAUAAUGUCAACAUAGUUCUGAUUUCAAUUAAAUAGGUUCCUUAGGGUGUGGUGUGUUUAUAUAAUAUGUCUUCUGAGAUGGCCCAUUUUCUACUACUUUGCUGGUUUUUUCGAACUACUGCAAGAUCCUCCUUAAUUUACAUUGCGUAGAAAAAGCUCACUGCGAUCAUUUUAGCAUAAAAAACUAUGACAAAUACGGAUCACCGUUAGUGCCAAUAAGUACAUCCUAAAAUUUGAGCUUAAAACGCUGUGCCAAUAUUCAGUUUUAAACUAAUUGCCCAGAUGAGCCUAGAGAUGUUUAACCUUCUAAGAUUAUGACUGAAGUGAAAAUACUGUUUAAAAAUUCUUAUUCAGCCCCAGGCUGGGGAUGUAACUCCAAGGCACAGUGCUUGCCUAGCUUACCCCCAAGGCCCUGAGUUGGAUCCCCAGCACCACAGAUAAUCAGGAAAACAGCCAACCACUUAGGAACAUCCCACUCUCAGAACACAUUUUAGAUAGCACUGAAGUGUACAGUUAUAAAGAUUAAAAACCAGUAAAAUGUCACCUAUGUUUUUUUCUCCAUCCAAAUUCCUCUUUUCAGGGGACUAAAGAGAUGGUUCGGCAGUUAAGAGCACAUACUGCUUUUACGGGAUCCUAGUUUGGUUCAUGGCACCCUUGUGGGGCAGCUUACAACUGCCUAUCACUGUAGCUCCAGAGAAAUCUAAUACCUCUCAGGCACCUGCACUGAUGCUCAUAUCCACAAACUAGAAAUAAAAAUUUCAUAUGUGUGUGUGUGUGUGUGUGUGUGUGUGUGUGUGUGUGUGUGUGUGUGUGUGAUGGUUUGUAUAUGCUUAGCCCAGGGAAUAGCACUAUUAGAAGGUGUGGCCUUAGAGUAGGUGUGUCACUGUGGGUGUGGGCUUUAAGACCCUCAUCCUGGCUGCCUGAAAGUGAGUAUUCUGCUAGCAUCCAAUGAAGAUGUAGAACUCUCAGCUCCUCCUGCACCAGGCCUGCCUCAACGCUGCCAUGUUCCUCCUUGAUGAUAAUGGACUGAACCUCUGAACCUGAAAGCCAGCCCCAAUUAAAUGUUGUCCUUAUAAGAGUUGCCUUGGUCUCAGUAUCUGUUCACAGCAGUAAAACCCUAACUAAGACAGAUAUAUGUAUGUAUACCCCCUGAAACCCCUCUCAGCCAAUCUUGUAAUCUAGCUGCUCUGGGAGCUAAAGGAAGAAAGAGAAAGAGGAGGAAGAAGAGAGGAAUAGGAAGAAGAGGAUUGAACUUCCAAGGCCUGCCUGGGCUAUGGAGUAAAUUCAAAACCAGCCUAGGCAGCUUAGUGAAUCUCAGUCUUUAAAAAUAAAAAAACACCACAAUCUUAAAAGGGACUUGCUCAGCACGAUCUGGAUCCUAGUUUCAAUCCCUAAUAACUCUCACCCCCAAAUAAAAGUGGGUGACUGUUCACUGCAGUAGUGUUCUUUAGGGAACUGCUAAGCACUUUCCUUCUGGACCACAGCUAGCCAGAAUUUCCCAGCAGCCCUUGCUGAAAGACACUCCCAAAUUAGUUCAUAAAUCCUCCAACACAGUCUUCUGUCUGCUAGCUUCCGCUUACGUGGACUUAGCCAGAAGGUCCACAUUGGUUUCCGGGCGCCACGUUAUAUGGGUAAGCUGCUCCGUGGAGUAGAAAGCCCACUGUAAGGUCAGCUCUGGAGUGGAUUUCGCUGCUACAAUCACACUCGGAAUCUGCCUCCCAUCCGCCUGAUGCCUCCACCAUCACAGACUUAGGAGGUCUGAAACCCAGAGGGGUUAAAGAGCUUCCCCGAGUCCUUUGACUUCGUUGCUAUCCAUGGAUGGUAAGACCUCUAGGGUCCUACCCACUUUCCCUAUUUGAAACCUGUUUGUUGGGGGAACAAUUGACCUCACCAGAGCGAGUUUCACAUUUUCCCAUUACAAAAGGAAAAUGAGAAAAAUAUGUCCCAGAUACCACAGAGAAAAAUGCUUCCUCCUGUUAAUUGCCUUUCUAUUUCAAUCGAGGAAGGCAUUUAAUUAUUUCUGAACUACAUUCAAAACUAACUCUCUCUCUCUCUCUCUCUCUCUCUCUCUCUCUCUCUCUCUCUCAUCACCCCUCUCCUUAGGUGAGUUAACAAAGUCUGUGCCUACGAUUUCUAAGGACCAAGUAACAUUGGACUGACGUUUGUCGAGCCCUUUCUAUCUGUCAUCAACUGUUCUUUUUACACUGGCCCCGUCUACUCCCCACAGGUCUGUGGUGUGGGCAGAGUUAUUAUUGCCCUCUAAACAGAUGAGGGACAGACUCCUCUCUUCACUAGGCUGCCACCAGACAGACACUUGGCUUCUCCACUGUGGCACCCAUUGCUGGGUAUGUGCACAAAUGCCACGUGGGGGCAUUUCAAGAGGACUGGGGGGUACAGGUGCUUCUGAAGCAUCUCAGGCUCCUGGAGAUUGAGGGAAGUGCUACAGGGGCUGAGGGGACAACAGGAACAGCGUUUAGAUGGCUUCUUACACAUUGAAGGAAAUCUUGCUUCUGAGUGGCACCGCCCACUGAUUUCAUCACGACUGUGAAAGAAGAAGAAAUAAACUCUCUGUAUUUCAUGAUCACAACUGUUUUGUCACUCGGCUUUUUCAGACUAAAGUCUACUGGCCUGGUAUUCCUACCCUCAGCUCACCUGACCUGUGAAGGCUGAGUUGCAAGGAGUUUUAUGGAGGCCUGAAACCUAAUAGCACUGAACUCCAUAUUGCCUAGGUUCGUUUCCUGUACAUGCAAACCUACGCUAAAGUUGAAUCCAUUAGUUAGUGCAAUCAUUAUUGCACUGAAAAUAAUGAAUGUUGGAACGGAACGCGGAACACUAUCCUGCAAUUAAACUGCCAGCAUCAGUACCCUUGCACUCUGGAGCCAUGGUUACAUAAAACAGGAGUCAGCUGAGCAUCAGCGUGGUGAUGCUGUGAUGGUCAGUUGGAUAUCUGAGGUGGUUGCUAUGGGACCAAAGGGCGGACAGCACAGAAGCACGGGUAUGUGGAUAGAGGCAUGAGUCACAUCCAGCUCAAGAGAAGCAGGGUGGCAUGAGGGCUGCUGGCCUUACCACUCACAACAGUGUGCAAUUUAACUCCCAGGAAUUGUUUAGUUCUAGAAUUUUCUAUUUAUUAUUUUCAGCUGACCACAAGAAACUGAAACCAUGGAAAACUGUGGAUAAAAAAAGGGACCAUUCUAAAACUGGGUGGCAUGAUAUGUGUGUUAUAUAAGUAAGAACAAAGUAUCUUCUGUGAUGGGCUGAACAUUCAAAAACACCUUGUAUUAAACUUCCUCAGGAAAUUGAUUCUUCAAAUUGUUCACAAGCUCUUUAAACUUAAUAAUCAGAAAAGUGUGGGUUAUUUUAUAUAUUCAAACCAACGGGUUUUACAAUCCGUUAGCAAUAUUUUAUACUUUGAGGUAUCCUUGAUUCUAGUAGCACUCUUCUUAAAUAUUUUAAUAGAAAUAUUCUAUUUCUGUUAACUUUGCAUGUGUGAGAAACAUUGUUCCCUUAAAAUAAAAAAUGUGGCAUUCUCAUGAAUAUGUACAGAUA